GUUGAUAUAAUAGACGCCGGGACAUUCUACAUAAUCGCCAUAUCCCCUGGAAAUAUUGUUAGAAACAAAGACCCGCCAUACACAUUCGGCAUUAUCUACAAUUUCGAACUUGCGGUACCAGUCUAAUAUUGCUGACAUGAGCUCCGGAUCACCAGCUGAGAACGACUGCGGAGUUCCGUGACUGCCAAACUGGAACUGCAGAACCGUCCGGUAGCAAAAACACGCCUGAAAGCGGAUCAAGUUCAAAUACAACACAGAAAAAUUCAUCUGCACGAGGAUCAGAAAGAAGACUGUGCCGCCGACAAAAUUCGAAUAAUGCAUUGUCUUCUUCGCCGUGCACCCACUGCGCGCCUA